AUUGAACGCUGGCGGCAUGCCUUACACAUGCAAGUCGAACGGCAGCACGGGAGCAAUCCUGGUGGCGAGUGGCGAACGGGUGAGUAAUAUAUCGGAACGUGCCCGGUCGUGGGGAUAACGUAGCGAAAGCUACGCUAAUACCGCAUACGAUCUACGGAUGAAAGCGGGGGAUCGCAAGACCUCGCGCGAUUGGAGCGGCCGAUAUCAGAUUAGGUAGUUGGUGAGGUAAAGGCUCACCAAGCCGACGAUCUGUAGCUGGUCUGAGAGGACGACCAGCCGCACUGGGACUGAGACACGGCCCAGACUCCUACGGAGGCAGCAGUGGGGAAUUUUGGACAAUGGGCGCAAGCCUGAUCCAGCAAUGCCGCGUGCAGGAUGAA
rnacentral:rRNA from 1 species